AGCUGAAUGGCGCAGCGGAAGCGCGCCGGGCUCAUAACCCGGAGGACGCACGAUCGGUAUGGUUA